rnacentral:rRNA from 1 species
CCUGAUCCAGCCAUGCCGCGUGAGUGAAGAAGGCUCGGGUUGUAAAGCUCUUCGGCGGGGACGAAACGGUCCGUGCCAACACCACGGACUAAUGACGGUACUCGCAGAAGAAGCACCGGCUAACUACGUGCCAGCAGCCGCGGUAAUACGUAGGGUGCGGGCGUUAAUCGGAAUUACUGGGCGUAAAGCGUGCGCAGGCGGCUCCUUAAGUCAGAUGUGAAAUCCCCGGGCUUAACCUGGGAACUGCGUUUGAAACUGAGGGGCUUGAGUGUGGAAGAGGGGGGUGGAAUUCCAGGUGUAGCAGUGAAAUGCGUAGAGAUCUGGAGGAACACCGAUGGCGAAGGCAGCCCCCUGGGCUAACACUGACGCUCAUGCACGAAAGCGUGGGGAGCAAACAGGAUUAGAUACCCUGGUAGUCCACGCCCUAAACGAUGUCAACUGGUUGUCGGGGAAGCAAUUCCUUGGUAACGAAGCUAACGCGUGAAGUUGACCGCCUGGGGAGUACGGCCGCAAGGUUA